GACGAACGCUGGCGGCGCGCUUAACACAUGCAAGUCGAGCGAAGCGGCGGACGGGGGAGUAACACGUGAUUAUCCUGCCUUAGACCUUGGGAUAGCCUCGGGACACCGGGAUUAAUACCAAAUGGUCUAAGAUGGACUCGCGUCCCAUUAGCUAGUUGGUGGGUAACGGCCCACCAAGGCGACGAUGGGGAGCCGUCCGGAGAGGGGGAACGGCAACAUGGGAACUGAGAAACGGUCCAGACUCUACGAGAGGCAGCAGUGGGGAAUAUUGCACAAGGGAGGGAACUCUGAUGCAGCGACGCCGCGUGAACGAAGAAGGCUUUCGAGUCGUAAAGUGCUUUUAUAUGGGAAGCGGUACCAUAAGAAAAAGCCCCGGCUAACUACGUGCCAGCAGCCGCGGUAAUUC
rnacentral:rRNA from 1 species